rnacentral:rRNA from 1 species
UACGUAGGGUGCGAGCGUUGUCCGGAAUUAUUGGGCGUAAAGAGCUUGUAGGUGGCUCGUUGCGUCGGGAGUGAAAACCUGCGGCUUAACCGCAGGCCUGCUUCCGAUACGGGCGAGCUAGAGUUCGGCAGGGGAGACUGGAAUUCCUGGUGUAGCGGUGGAAUGCGCAGAUAUCAGGAGGAACACCGGUGGCGAAGGCGGGUCUCUGGGCCGACACGUGACACUGAGAGACGAAAGCUAGGGGAGCAAAUGGG